CUGCGGAAGGAUCAUUGAUUCGAUCGAACCAACCCGGUGACCCCCGUUCGCCCGAUCCCGGCGGCCUCGCGCCGUCGGGUGGCCUGCGGGCAUUUCCCCAUUCGGGGGAGUGCCUCAGAGCCGCUAAAAACGCGGGUUCUCGAUUGUGAGGCCCCGCCCGAUCAAAUACUCCUCUCCCCAUUCGGGAAAGGGGGGCGCCCCUUCGGGGGCGUUUACUUUUUUCGGGUGGGACCCGGUCGGGAAGGCCCAAUUUGACCCUGGAAAACUCGCCCUGAAGCAAGCCGGCACUUGUGUGUCGGCACCAAAACAAAGACAACUCUCAACAACGGAUAUCUUGGCUCCCGCAACGAUGAAGAACGCAGCGAAAUGCGAUACCUAGUGUGAAUUGCAGAAUUCCGUGAAUCAUCGAGUCUUUGAACGCAUAUCGCGCUCGAGGCCUCGGCCGAGAGCAUGUCUGCCUCRGCGUCUUUCUCACUUCUCCCUGCGCCCCUCCCCACCGAGGAGGGGGCGGCAGGGGGGAUCUGGUCGUUCCGAGCCCCGGCGCUCGGAUCGGUCGAAAUGCAGAAGGGCCCUCCCCUCACCUCAAGGGCGUCGAAAGGUGGAUUGCCUUCGGGCGAUGCCGAUCGAGGCCUGGAGGGGUUGCCUCGCCCUCAAGCUCGGAGAUGGCACCCACAGACUUUUGACCUGAGUUCAGGCAAGAUCACCCG
rnacentral:rRNA from 1 species